UAAUAGCUUUGAACUCUUGCGGUAGUGAAAUAAGUGUUUUAAAACUAAAAUGAAUAUACAAAAAGACAGCAGCAAAUAUAUUAAACAAAUAAAAUAAUAAAACAAUAUUUUUGGCAAUAGACGUCAAGUGACGUGUUCAGCGCAUGCGCACUUAAAAGUUCCGCCUGGGUUUCUUAGAAGCGGACGUUAGCCUUUUGUGAAUAUUUGUGUUGUGUAAAUUUAUAUUUUAUUAGAAACCGUCCCCGUGUUGUACGCAAUGAAUGUGAGCUGGAUUUUCUGCUUCACCUUCCUGCUUCUGAUACACACAGUGUCGGUGCAGAGUGUCCGUGUUGAAGGUUUUAUAGGAGAAACCAAGUCCUUACCUUGUAAAUUUGGAGAGAAGCUGCAGACUAUGC